GGGACAACUCGGGGAAACUCGAGCUAAUACCGCAUAAUCUCUACGGAGCAAAGUGGGGGAUCGUAAGACCUCACGCUAUAAGAUGAGCCUGCGUCGGAUUAGCUUGUUGGUGGGGUAAUGGCCUACCAAGGCGACGAUCCGUAGCUGGUCUGAGAGGACGACCAGCCACACUGGGACUGAGACACGGCCCAGACUCCUACGGGAGGCAGCAGUGGGGAAUAUUGGACAAUGGGGGAAACCCUGAUCCAGCAAUGCCGCGUGUGUGAAGAAGGCCUUCGGGUUGUAAAGCACUUUCAAUAGGGAAGAACAAGCUUAUGGCUAAUAUCCAUGAGCCUAGACGUUACCUAUAGAAGAAGCACUGGCUAACUCUGUGCCAGCAGCCGCGGUAAUACAGAGAGUGCAAGCGUUAAUCGGAAUUACUGGGCGUAAAGCGCACGUAGGUGGAUACUUAAGUCGGAUGUGAAAUCCCUGGGCUUAACCCGGGAACUGCAUCCGAUACUGGGUAUCUAGAGUAUGGUAGAGGGAAGUGGAAUUUCCGGUGUAGCGGUGAAAUGCGUAGAUAUCGGAAAGAACACCAGUGGCGAAAGCGGCUUCCUGGACUAAUACUGACACUAAGGUGCGAAAGCGUGGGGAGCAAACAGGAUUAGAGACCCUGGUAGUCCACGCUGUCAACGA
rnacentral:rRNA from 3 species